UUUUUUGAUUAAAGAAUCGAUUUGGGAAUCGAUUGUUUUAGCCCAGGAUUCAAAGUUCAGAGAUGUGUUUUGAAAUAUGCCCGAGCGUCGAUUGGGAAAUCGACUAGUUCAGUACUCAACGUUUAGACAAUCGAUUUGGGAAUCGAUUAAGUAACUCUGGACAUCGAUUUGGACAUCGAUUUGAAAUAUUACCGUUAUGACUAUUUCUCACUAGCCGUUGAAGGUAAUUAUUACCAAAUCGAUUGAGGAUUUCCAGAAACGGUAACAUAGUCGAUUGAGCAAUCGAUUUACUUGUUCAAAGGUUUAAAUAGGAACAGUUCUAAAUCGAUUUCUUCACUGA
rnacentral:lncRNA from 1 species